UACGGAAGGCAGCAGUGGGGAAUAUUGCACAAUGGGCGCAAGCCUGAUGCAGCCAUGCCGCGUGUAUGAAAAAGGCCUUCGGGUUGUAAAGUACUUUUCAGUCGUGAGGAAGGUGUUAAGGUUAAUAACCUUAGCAAUUGACGUUAGCGACAGAAGAAGCACCGGCUAACUCCGUGCCAGCAGCCGCGGUAAUACGGAGGGUGCGAGCGUUAAUCGGAAUUACUGGGCGUAAAGGGCACGCAGGCGGUUAAUUAAGUUGGAUGUGAAAUCCCCGGGCUUAACCUGGGAAUGGCAUUCAAGACUGGUUAGCUAGAGUCUUGUAGAGGGGGUAGAAUUCCGAUGUGUAGCGGUGAAAUGCGUAGAGAUGUGGAGGAAUACCGGUGCGAAGGCGGCCCCUGGCAAAGGACUGACGCUCAUGUGCGAAAGCGUGGGGAGCAAACGAGGGAUUAGAUACC
rnacentral:rRNA from 1 species